rnacentral:rRNA from 1 species
GCGGCGUGCUUAACACAUGCAAGUCGAACGAUGAAGCCCUUCGGGGUGGAUUAGUGGCGAACGGGUGAGUAACACGUGGGCAAUCUGCCCUUCACUCUGGGACAAGCCCUGGAAACGGGGUCUAAUACCGGAUAACACUCUGUCCCGCAUGGGACGGGGUUAAAAGCUCCGGCGGUGAAGGAUGAGCCCGCGGCCUAUCAGCUUGUUGGUGGGGUAAUGGCCUACCAAGGCGACGACGGGUAGCCGGCCUGAGAGGGCGACCGGCCACACUGGGACUGAGACACGGCCCAGACUCCUACGGGAGGCAGCAGUGGGGAAUAUUGCACAAUGGGCGAAAGCCUGAUGCAGCGACGCCGCGUGAGGGAUGACGGCCUUCGGGUUGUAAACCUCUUUCAGCAGGGAAGAAGCGAAAGUGACGGUACCUGCAGAAGAAGCGCCGGCUAACUACGUGCCAGCAGCCGCGGUAAUACGUAGGGCGCAAGCGUUGUCCGGAAUUAUUGGGCGUAAAGAGCUCGUAGGCGGCUUGUCACGUCGGAUGUGAAAGCCCGGGGCUUAACCCCGGGUCUGCAUUCGAUACGGGCUAGCUAGAGUGUGGUAGGGGAGAUCGGAAUUCCUGGUGUAGCGGUGAAAUGCGCAGAUAUCAGGAGGAACACCGGUGGCGAAGGCGGAUCUCUGGGCCAUUACUGACGCUGAGGAGCGAAAGCGUGGGGAGCGAACAGGAUUAGAUACCCUGGUAGUCCACGCCGUAAACGUUGGGAACUAGGUGUUGGCGACAUUCCACGUCGUCGGUGCCGCAGCUAACGCAUUAAGUUCCC